rfam:Rhizobacter sp. Root1221 contig_30, whole genome shotgun sequence.
GCCUGCUUGUCGGGGUGCCGGGGGUCGAUACGACCUGAGGCUGAGAUGGCGCAAUGCGCCAAACCCGUUGAACCUGAUUGGGAUAACCCCCGCGUAGGAAACAAUGCACUCGGCCCU